rnacentral:lncRNA from 1 species
AUUCUCCCUCUAAAAACCUGCCUUCAACCUCUUUCCCUGGUUCCAGCUUAGACAUUAUUGUCAUUAUAAUUAUUACCUAAUUAAUGAUGUCAUAUAUAAUUAGAUGUGAUACAAUAUAACACUGCAGCAUAAUACAAUUGUAAUCAUUGUUGGAUGUGAUUUCCUUCAGAAGGACCCCCCUGACUUCCCAAGGCGGGUACUCACAUGUGCUCUCAUAGCACCCGUCACAGUACUUUCCCCCCUGUAAUGCAAUUGCUAUUGAUUCUUCUCUUUUUCUCACCAUGGAGGCAGGGGAAUAUUCACUGCUGUAAGAAGUGCCCAGCACACAUCUGUCUCUCUCUUUCUCUCUCUCUCUCUCUCUCUUCUCUCUGUCUCUCUCUCACUGAGGGACAACUCUGCAUGCUGCUCUGUAAAUUGUCUUGUUCUUUAAUGACAGAUAGUGGACAUAUUUCCAUAUUACUCAAGAUAGAGCUAUAUUGUUAUUUUAAAUGACUGCCUUUCAUUGCAUGGAAAUCAUCAUUUCUUUAACCAGCCUUAUACUGCAUGCUACUAUGACAUUUUAUGAGACCAGAUGAUAAUUUAUUUUAGAACUCUGGGUACAACAGUAGUCACUGGGCUCUGAGUAAGACUCUAACGAACUCUGAUACGAGGAAAUUUAACUCAAGAAUUCUCUUAUGUCUUCCAUCUGCUCAAAAUGUCUUUUGUUGCUUACCUCCUGUGUCUUAGCUGCAUUGUAAUGGGUGUUGUUACCAGAUUCAUGACCUUCAGCGAAGUGACGCAGCAUUGUUCUAAAACUAGUUAGUAGUUUCUGAGCAUCUGUAAACUGGCAUUUAGUGAUGUCAGCCCUGGGGAAAGACGCCAUCCUGAGACAAAUACUUUGCCUAGAAGAGAUCAUGAAAUAGAUAACCCACACAUUGACAAAGUAAAAUCGACUUUAUUUGUACAUUACCAACAGUUCUCCAGGAAUUCAGCACAUUCCAGCCCUGGAGACAAAACUGUCCACAUAUUUCCUAUCAAAUUGGAUUUACAGAGCUCUGAUUGUAAACCCAGGACUAUGUUAGGUACUAUGGAGAAGAUAAGUGAUACUUUUCUGCUCUGGGAAAGUUUAUAGUCUCUUUUCAUGAUAAGAUGUUUACACCAAAAGCUCUGGACCCCCCAAAUUCAAUUCACAGCCCCACGGAUGGACAAACACAUUUGCAUUGAUCAAAGAACCUGAUCCAUGUUCUUAUGAAAAAACAGAAAAGUCAGUAUAAUGGCUCUCUGAAAAUAAUUCAAGCACAUAGAAGAAAAGGACUAAUUUUGUUCAGAAAGGGGUCUUUCGAGCUACUGAACCAAGACAUGAAGAAACUGGGCAAGGCUGUGGAACAUCAUUUUUCUCUCUAGAUCAAGCUUGGAGGCCAACUGGUGAAAUGGGAACCUACCAAGAUGGCGGGACAAGGGAGCAUGGAUCCAAGUCACCAGAUGGAGGACAGACUCCAUCUAAUCUGCAUCAGACUUUAUUCAACUGAUGAGGAAGUGAUGCUUGGUACUACUGCAGCCAUCUUGUGACCGUGAGGCUGAGGACCAAAGCUAACACCAUGAAGAUGGCAGAGAAGAGAUGUGAAAAGAACAUAAUCUUUUAAGAUAGUUCACCCAUAUAUUAACUAACUAUGGAACCACCCUGCCUUUUUUAUUGUUUGAGAUGUGAAAAGUACCUGCCACUCAGGUCAGCCAUUCUCAACCUGCCUGCACAUUAGGAAAAGCUGGGGAAUAUUUGAAACAUACCAAUGCCCCAGUUCUACUCCCAGAGAUUCUAGUUUAGUCAGACUGCUGUGGAGACCAGACCUCACUUUUUAUAAGUUCCCAGAUGAUUCUGCUCUGCAGUCAGAAUGGCAGACCACUGCAAGAGUAUAAGCUUCCUGAGGAUAGGAACUAUGCCUAUUUAAUAUUUGAUGUCCCUGUAAGUGCCAGACAUAGGGCUUAGUGUGCAAACAGGCUCUUCCUUAAUUUCCGAAUAACUCUCUAAGCAGAUAACGUGGGCUCAUCUCUCUGGGGUAAAUUUCCUUACAGAGCAAAAGCUGUGCUGUAUCUUGGAAGGAAAUGAGUUGUGACUGGUAGCAGGAGCCCAUGAAGCAGGGUCCCAGCAGCCCUCUUCUAGAUAUCCAUGGGUCUUCUGAUGCUCAGUGUCUCCCCAACCCCUUCACUACCUGACACAUACCUCUCUUCUCUGUGGUUCCAGUGUCCAAGCCCUCAGUCCUUCCCAGACCCUGGGAAGUUUUAAAGGCUGAGUCUGGAAAGAUGCUUUUCUGUGUCUGGGUCUGCUGAAGCCUGAUAGAGAAAGAUCGGCCAAUACUGCCCCAUCUACCAUAGAAUAAACACCAAUCUGAUUUCCUUUGCUUUGAGGCCUCCAAUUCCAUGAAAUAAAUUAUUGC